GUCUGGCUAGCUCAGUCGGUAGAGCAUGAGACUCUUAAUCUCAGGAUUGUGGGUUCAAGCCUCACAUUGGGCA
rnacentral:tRNA from 1 species